GAUGAACGCUGGCGGCGUGCUUAACACAUGCAAGUCGAACGAAGCAGUUUAUUACGAUCCCUUCGGGGUGACGAUUUACUGACUGAGUGGCGGACGGGUGAGUAACGCGUGGGUAACCUACCUUGUACAGGGGGACAACAGUUGGAAACGACUGCUAAUACCGCAUAAGCGCACAGCAUCGCAUGAUGUAGUGUGAAAAGUUUUUUCGGUAUAAGAUGGACCCGCGUCUGAUUAGCUAGUUGGUGAGGUAACGGCUCACCAAGGCGACGAUCCAUAGCCGGCCUGAGAGGGUGAACGGCCACAUUGGGACUGAGACACGGCCCAGACUCC
rnacentral:rRNA from 1 species